GAUGAACGCUAGCUACAGGCUUAACACAUGCCAGUCGAGGGGCAGCGGUAUCGAAAGCUUGCUUUCGGUAGCCGGCGACCGGCGCACGGGUGAGUAACGCGUAUCGAACCUGCCUCAUACUCGGGAAUAGCCUUGCGAAAGUAAGAUUAAUGCCCGGUGUUUUCAGAGUCCCGCAUGAGGCUUUGAACAAAGAUUUAUCGGUAUGAGAUGGCGAUGCGUCCCAUUAGCUUGUUGGCGGGGUAACGGCCCACCAAGGCAUCGAUGGGUAGGGGUUCUGAGAGGAAGGUCCCCCACAUUGGAACUGAGACACGGUCCAAACUCCUACGGGAGGCAGCAGUGAGGAAUAUUGGUCAAUGGGCGGAAGCCUGAACCAGCCAAGUAGCGUGCAGGAAGACGGCCCUCCGGGUUGUAAACUGCUUUUAGUUGGGAAUAAAACGGGGCUCGUGAGCCCCCUUGCAUGUACCAUCAGAAAAAGGACCGGCUAAUUCCGUG
rnacentral:rRNA from 1 species